rnacentral:SRP_RNA from 1 species
GGUCAGAUUCUGCGCAACGCGAGACUUCUGAACUCCGUCAGGACCGGAAGGUAGCAGCGGUAGGAAUGUUUUCGUGUGUGCCGCGGAGCCUCUGAUCGGA